rnacentral:misc_RNA from 1 species
AACGCACCUUGCGCUCUUUGGCCAUUCCAAAGAGCAUGCCUGUUUGAGUGUCAUUGAAUCUUCAAACCCCACUUGGCUUUCCUUUGCCCGGCUGGUGGUUUGGACUUGGGAGCGCUGCAGGUCUGCUUUGGUUUUUAGUGACCUGCUCUCCUCAAAGGCAUUAGCAAAAGGGCCCCUCUGGCCUUCACGGCGUUGAUAGUUGUCUACGCCCCGAUGGCCCCAUAGAGUUGGUGAGCCUUGCUUACAAUGACAAGGGGGGUGGGCGGGCUUUUGCCCGUCUGGGUGAUCUUUCCCUUUGAACGCGUUGACCUCAAAUCAGGUAGGACUACCCGCUGAACUUAA